rnacentral:misc_RNA from 1 species
GAUGAAGAACGUAGCGAAAUGCGAUAAGUAAUGUGAAUUGCAGAAUUCAGUGAAUCAUCGAAUCUUUGAACGCACAUUGCGCCCGCCAGUAUUCUGGCGGGCAUGCCUGUUCGAGCGUCAUUUCAACCCUCAAGCCCCAGCGGUUUGGUGUUGGGGACCGGCGAGUACAGAGGCUUUGGGGACUUGUCCCCCUUCCCUCGGCGCCGCCCCCGAAAUGAAUUGGCGGUCUCGUCGCGGCCUCCUCUGCGUAGUAGCACAACCUCGCAUCAGGAGCGCGGCGCGGCCACUGCCGUAAAACGCCCAACUUUUUUUAAGAGUUGACCUCGAAUCAGGUAGGAAUACCCGCUGAACUUAAGCAUAUCAAUAAGCGGAGGA